rnacentral:lncRNA from 1 species
AUCAACACUCCAUUCUGCUAUCUCUCCAUCAAAUUUAAACACACCAUUNUCAUCAGUNAAAAAUUUUCCACUAUGGUGGACCACAAUCUUAAUUCGUUCCUCAGCCAUUAUGAAACUUUCUUUUAUAACCUGUACAUUGGGGGAGACAAAUAUUAUAUGUAUUACCUAAGUGGGGCACUCACUUACUCCCUACAUAUACACUAACACCGACACCGAUAGGGGACAUAGAACAAACCUAUAUCCCACUUACCCAUGAUUAAAAGGAAGGGGACCACUACACCGAAUAAAGAAUUCAAACAUGCAAAAUGGGACCACACACUCUAAACUACAAUAUAACCACUCAUCAUGCAAAAUGGGACCACAAAUCAUGCACACGACUUACAAACACACAAAAACCCAA